ACUAUAGGAGCAGGGGAUUUUACCAAUAAGGUGGUGGGUUAAUCCUGAUCCAGGCAGAACACUUGGUCGUCACUGUGGCCAAAGUGGCAAAGGGGUUGAUAGCCAGAAAGGGAGUCCUUAAACCCACUUCAACUGUAGGCAGCUUACAAUUGGAGUCUAGAAGGAAGUCUGUGGAAAAGCUCUUCGGCAGAACUUUAAACUCACUGAAACACAAGCUGAAAUCAUGGCAAGCUGUACCACCAAGAAGCUGCAAAAGGUGAUCACAUGACCCCGGGACACAGCAAGCAUCAUAAAUAUGAACCAGUUGCCAAGCAUCUGGAAUUUUGAUCGGGUGACCAUGGGGAUGCUGCAACGGUUGUAAACAGCCGACAAUCCGGAACUGCCUCAAGAACAGAACGCGCGAACUCAGCCUGACAGUCCUUAAAUACCCGGCCUGCCAGACGGCCAACCAAUCAUCUAACAGAAUGUUACAGUGUAUAUCAACAGGGGGCCUCCCCACGGAGCAAGCUCAAUACAUUACACCCCUUCUCACCUGGACCGUGCAUGCGUAAUCCUGGAGAUACAUUGGAUGGUGCCGGAUUUGACAGAACACCGCGGACUGGACGUAACUAAUUGAUCCGGUGCAGCCUGAUCUCUAUUACCUCCUCGGACUGCCUGGAUUUCAUCGGCUGCUUCCUGGACCCCUGCUUGACAAGGAUAUUCCUCAACAA